CGAGACCUCAGGUCAGGCGGGGCUACCCGCUGAAUUUAAGCAUACCAAUAAGCGGAGGAAAAAAAACUAACAAGGAUUCCCUUUAAUAACGG
rnacentral:rRNA from 1 species